CGCUGGCGGCGUGCUUAACACAUGCAAGUCGAACGGAUGAAUAAGCUUGCUUAUUUCGUUAGUGGCGCACGGGUGAGUAAUGUAUAGCUAACCUGCCCUUUAGUGGGGACAACAGUUGGAAACGACUGCUAAUACCCCAUACUCCAGCCUAUCAAAAGGUAGGUUGGGAAAGAUUUAUUGCUAAAGGAUGGGGCUUUUAUGGUAUCAGCUAGUUGGUGGGGUAACGGCCUACCAAGGCAAUGACGCCUACCUGGUCUGAGAGGAUGAUCAGGCACACUGGAACUGAGACACGGUCCAGACUCCUACGGGAGGCAGCAGUGGGGAAUAUUGCACAAUGGGGGAAACCCUGAAUGCAGCAACGCCGCGUGGAGGAUGACGCAUUUCGGUGUGUAAACUCCUUUUAUAAGGGAAGAUAAUGACGGUACCUUAUGAAUAAGCACCGGCUAACUCCGUGCCAGCAGCCGC
rnacentral:rRNA from 1 species